UUUUCUCAGACUCUUUUCAGUGGAAUCAGAGGUGUGUUGUUGGUAUUCGCCGUGCUUGAGUUUAUCAUCUCCAUCUUUCUGUCAGCAUUUGCCUGUAAAGCCAACGCAUGCUGUUGUCCUCCUCAGGCGCAGUAUGCUCCUUUACCUCCACAGCCCUCUGAUUUUAGACCCAGUCAUUUCUAUGGUCUUAACAGCUCAGAGAUACCUGCGUCCAGCAGCUCAUCCAUUCAUCACCAGCCUGCAGAAAUUCCCCCACAAUACAAUGAAUCCAAAUAAAUAUGAAUAAGUGGACAGUGUUAUCUUAUGAAAUCUAGGAAUGUAUUGGAAAAGAUAAUGCAAUAUAUAUUAAAUGGUGCACUUCCAUAUAUGAGACACUAGUGUUCACAUUUUCAGUAUAUUGCAAUGUAUUCAUGUACGGCUAUAUAUUCAUACCUAUACAAAAUUACAAAAUCUUUACAUGUAAUAGCUUUACGACACUCAAUUUCUCUUUUAAGAGUUAAUGCUUGGGUUUACAUAUAGCUGAACACAUUUUUAAAUUUUACAUUUUUAAAACUUUUUAUCACUUUACUCUUUGCUUAAUUACACAUAUGAAAACGUGUGAUGUAUAAAAGGAAAGCGUUUACUGAAAAACAUGGAAAGUGUUUUUUUUUUUUUUGAUUACUGGAUCUCUAGUUAAAAUCAUGGCAACAUGGUGGAUGGAAAAUGAGAUUUGACAUUUAUAACUCAAGUGCUUUAUGUACUGUAUCAAUACAAAUACAUAAUAUGUUCCUCAUAAUUGUAAUCUGUCAGAAUGAAGUAUACUUAAAUGACAAAAAUGACCAAAAUGACAGCACAGAUCUGGGUACAUUUUGUUUUUUAAUCAGAUGAUAAAGGACAGCUAAAAGACAUUAACACGCCAGGGUGUUGAUUGUUGUAGAAUUUUCCUUGUUCAAAAUAAAUUUCUCUGAAGAGGUGUCA